GAUGAAGAACGUAGCGAAAUGCGAUACUUGGUGUGAAUUGCAGAAUCCCGUGAACCAUCGAGUCUUUGAACGCAAGUUGCGCCCGAAGCCAUUAGGCCGAGGGCUCGCCUGCCUGGGCGUCACACGUCGUUGCCCCCCCAUCUACUCCUUCGGGAUUGCGGGGGGCGGAUGAUGGCCUCUCGUGCGCCUCGUCGCGCGGUUGGCCUAAAUGCCAAGUCCUCGGCGACGCACGCCACGACAAUCGGUGGUUGCGAAACCUCGGUUGCCUGUCGUGUGCGGUCGUCGCGCAUCGAGGGCUCGAAAAAAUUGCCGGGCUUCGGCUCGACUUUCAACGCGACCCCAGGUCAGGCGGGGUUACCCGCUGAAUUUAAGCAUAUCAAUAAGCGGAGGA
rnacentral:misc_RNA from 1 species